UACAGUAUCUGGGACGUUUGUUGUUUCUAUAGCAAUCCUUUUGUGACGAAUUGGCUCAAUAAUGGGCUGGCUUAAGGGUUGAGUAUCCUGUUCCUGAACCAUGAUAUCCACGUUGGACCCAUAUACCUCUUCAGCGCUAGGAUAAUAUUGUUUAUCCUCGUGAAGAACAACGGCAUUCUGAGGCUCUAGAUGACUCAACGCCAUUUCCUCGGCCCUUUCAACGUCUUCUAAUUCUUCAUCAGGAAUGACCUCUUCAAAGGAUGGUACCUGUGCAAUUGUAGGGCUAGGAGCCUGAGGAAACAGCUCCUCUUCAUCUUCUUCAUUUUCAGGGCCUAUGUAAUUUCCAAACCUGGCGAGUUAGAAAUAACUAUAAAAUGUUUUUAGACCACUUACUCAUCAUAUAAAUCCUCUUCCAUCAUCAGUU